rnacentral:rRNA from 1 species
CCUACGGGUGGCUGCAGUGGGGAAUUUUGGACAAUGGGGGCAACCCUGAUCCAGCCAUGCCGCGUGAGUGAAGAAGGCCUUCGGGUUGUAAAGCUCUUUCGGCCGGGAAGAAAUCGCUCAAGCUAAUACCUUGGGAGGAUGACGGUACCGGAAGAAGAAGCCCCGGCUAACUACGUGCCAGCAGCCGCGGUAAUACGUAGGGUGCGAGCGGUAUUCGGAAUUACUGGGCGUAGCGCUUGCGCAGGUGUCAAAUCCCCGGGCUUAACCUGGGAACUGCGGUUGUGACUGUGGUGCUCGAGUGCGGCAGAGGGGGGUGGAAUUCCACGUGUAGCAGUGAAAUGCGUAGAGAUGUGGAGGAACACCGAUGGCGAAGGCAGCCCCCUGGGUCGACACUGACGCUCAUGCACGAAAGCGUGGGGAGCAAACAGGAUUAGAUACCCUUGUAGUC